GAGGCGAGCUGGCCAGCGAGGCGCUGGCCGUGCUGAAGGUGGACAAUCGCGUGGUGGGCAGACGGGCUGGGGCCCGGUGGCCCGGCAGUGCUGGGACCAGACCUUUGUCAUCCCCCUGGAGCGGGUGAGGCCGGCCCCGGGGAGCCGGGGUGGCGUGGGGGCGCGGGGGGCGGGGGGGGGGGGCGGCCAUCUUCACCCGGCUCUCCGCUGCAGGCCGGGAGCUGGAGGUCGGGGUUGCGCUGGCGGACUGGCGGCAGCUGUGCGCCGUGGCCUUCCUGCGGCUGGAGGACUUCCUGGACAACGCGUGCCACCAGCUCACGCUCAGCCUGCUGCCCCAGGGGCUGCUCUUUGCCCAGGUAACCUUCUGUGACCCCGUCAUUGAGAGGAGGCCCGGCUGC